rnacentral:rRNA from 1 species
AUGGAGAUGGAGGAAGAGUUUGGGGAGCUACAAGGAACACCAAUGAAGUUCACAUGUCAGCAGCUAAAAGCAGCAACCGAGCAAUUUGCAGACAAGCUCGGGGAAGGAGGAUUUGGGUCUGUUUUCAAGGGUCAAUUUGGUGAUGAAAGGAUUGCAGUAAAACGUUUGGAUCGAGCGGGUCAGGGCAAAAGAGAAUUUUCUGCAGAGGUUCAAACAAUUUUCUGCAGAUUGAUUGGUUUCUGUGCAGAGAAAUCGCAUAGGCUCUUGGUAUAUGAGUACAUGCCAAAAGGAUCCUUGGAUAGAUGGAUCUAUCAUCAACAUGACAAUGAUUCACCUCCCCUGAAUUGGAGCACGCGGUGCAAGAUUAUCACUCACAUAGCUAAGGGUCUCGCUUAUCUUCAUGAGGAGUGCAUGAAAAAGAUUGCCCAUUUGGAUAUCAAACCACAAAACAUCCUCUUAGAUGAUGACUUCAAUGCUAAACUUUCUGAUUUUGGACUAUGCAAGCUCAUUGACAGGGAUAUGAGCCAAGUGUUUACCAGAAUGAGAGGCACACCUGGAUAUUUAGCUCCUGAAUGGUUGACAUCACAGAUCACGGAAAAGGCUGAUGCCUAUAGCUUUGGUGUUGUGGUCAUGGAAGUCAUCAGAGGAAGAAAGAACCUCGACAAUUCUCGAUCCGAAGAGAGCAUCCAUCUCAUCACCCAAUUGGAGGAAAAGGUGAAGACUAAUCGGUUGGUAGAAUUGAUUGACAAUAAGAGUAACAAUAUGCUGGCACAUAAGCAGGAUGUAAUUGAGAUGAUGAAGCUCGCAAUGUGGUGUUUGCAGAUUGAUUGCAAAAGAAGGCCUAAAAUGUCCGAGGUAGUCAAGGUCUUGGAAGGUGCCAUGAAUGCAGAGAGCAACAUUGAUCAUAACUUCGUUGCAACAAAUCAAGUGUUAUUCGGCGCUGCUGGAAAUGUGGUCUCAUCGGUUCCACCUCUAGCUUCACAUGUAUCAGGUCCCAGGUGA